rnacentral:rRNA from 1 species
ACGGAAGGCAGCAGUGGGGAAUAUUGGACAAUGGGCGAAAGCCUGAUCCAGCGACGCCGCGUGGGUGAAGAAGGCCUGCGGGUUGUAAAGCCCUUUCGGUGGGGAAGAAAAGCCUCGUUUUAAUACAGCGGGGUCUUGACGUAACCCAUAGAAGAAGCACCGGCUAACUCUGUGCCAGCAGCCGCGGUAAUACAGAGGGUGCGAGCGUUAAUCGGAAUUACUGGGCGUAAAGCGCGCGUAGGCGGCUUUGCAAGUCGGGUGUGAAAUCCCCAGGCUUAACCUGGGAACUGCAUUCGAGACUGCAUUGCUAGAGUAUGGGAGAGGGAAGUGGAAUUUCCGGUGUAGCGGUGAAAUGCGUAGAUAUCGGAAGGAACAUCAGUGGCGAAAGCGACUUCCUGGACCAAUACUGACGCUCAUGUGCGAAAGCGUGGGGAGCAAACAGGAUUAGAUACCCUGGUA